rnacentral:rRNA from 1 species
GAUGAACGCUGGCGGCGUGCCUAAUACAUGCAAGUCGAGCGAACAGACGAGGAGCUUGCUCCUCUGACGUUAGCGGCGGACGGGUGAGUAACACGUGGAUAACCUACCUAUAAGACUGGGAUAACUUCGGGAAACCGGAGCUAAUACCGGAUAAUAUAUUGAACCGCAUGGUUCAAUAGUGAAAGACGGUUUUGCUGUCACUUAUAGAUGGAUCCGCGCCGCAUUAGCUAGUUGGUAAGGUAACGGCUUACCAAGGCAACGAUGCGUAGCCGACCUGAGAGAGUGAUAGGCCACACGGGAACUGAGACACGGUCCAGACUACUACGGGAGGCAGCAGUAGGGAAUCUUCCGCAAUGGGCGAAAGCCUGACGGAGCAACGCCGCGUGAGUGAUGAAGGUCUUCGGAGCGUAAAACUCUGUUAUUAGGGAAGAACAAAUGUGUAAGUAACUAUGCACGUCUUGACGGUACCUAAUCAGAAAGCCACGGCUAACUACGUG